rnacentral:sRNA from 1 species
AAGUCGAUGUUGGUGGAUUUCUGUUGGCCUGACGUUAGCGUGCGCACAUCAUGCCGAAAGUAAAGAAGAGCAAACGGAUUGCAGAGCGGAGAGAAGGUCCGACAAAAAAUCAUCAGCAGUCAAAAGAAAAGAGGGGGCAAUCUGCCAACACGGACACUUCGGUGACAGUGGAGAAAUCCCCGGAGGUUGACCAUGUGGUUGGAAACACAAAACAUUGCCCGGAAUCAGGGAUGGUGUUCAUUUGUCUGAAAAAGGAACUGAAAUAUUUUGAAAUACAAUUUGUGCAGCUAUUUAACAAUUUAGCAAAACUGGGAUACUUGUUCAUCCCAAACUCUACUAGUUUUGAACCAAGUUUAUUGUUCAUGUGGGAUGUGGCAAGGUCUAGGCUUAAGGAACUACCCGCUUCCCCCACAUGGUGGCGGUGGCUUCACUGAAUACAUACAGUGCAUUCAUUCACUUU